UACGUAGGUGGCAAGCGUUGUCCGGAUUUACUGGGCGUAAAGAGCGCGCAGGCGGUCGUGCAAGUCGCGUGUGAAAGCCCCCGGCUCAACUGGGGAGGGUCACGCGAUACUGCUCGACUCGAAGGCAGGAGAGGGAAGUGGAAUUCCCGGUGUAGUGGUGAAAUGCGCAGAUAUCGGGAAGAACACCCGUGGCGAAGGCGGCUCUCUGGGACGGUACUGACGCUGAGACGCGGAAAGCGUGGGGAGCGAACAGG
rnacentral:rRNA from 1 species